rnacentral:rRNA from 1 species
AAUCAACGCUGGUGGCGUGCCUAACACAUGCAAGUCGAACGCGAAAGCCCUUUCGGGGGUAAGUAGAGUGGCGUCCGGGUGAGUAACACGUAGGUAAUCUACCUUCGGGUGGGGAAUAACUCGCCGAAAGGCGAGCUAAUACCGCAUAAUGCAGCGGCACCUAAUGGUGAUUAGUUGUUAAAGCGGGGGAUCGUAAGACCUCGCGCCUGAAGAGGAGCCUGCGGCAGAUUAGCAGUUGGUGAGGUAAUGGCUCACCAAGGCUUCGAUCUGUAGCUGGUCUGAGAGGACGGCCAGCCACACUGGCACUGACACACGGGGCCAGACUCCUACGGGAGGCAGCAGUGGGGAAUUUUGGGCAAGUGGGCGCAAGCCUGACCCAGCAACGCCGCGUGAGGAGG